AGGAACAUAUUGGUAACCUACCUUGAGGUCGAGGACAACCCAUAGAAAUGUGGGCUAAUACUCGAUAGACAUGGGGGGUCUUCGGACAUUCCCAUGUAAAGCUCCGGCGCCCCAAGAUGGGCCUAUAUCGUAUCAGCUUGUAGGUGAGGUAAAAGCUCACCUAGGCUAUGACGCGUACCGGGCGUGAGAGCGUGGCCCGGCUCACUGGGACUGAGACACGGCCCAGACACCUACGGGUGGCUGCAGUCAAGAAUCUUCCGCAAUGCACGAAAGUGUGACGGAGUGAUGCCGCGUGCUCGAUGAAGGCCUUCGGGUCGUAAAGAGCUUUUAUAAGGGACGAACCAAUGACGGUACCUUAUGAAUAAGAGGUUGCUAACUCUGUGCCAGCAGCAGCGGUAAUACAGAGACCUCAAGCGUUAUCCGGAUUUAUUGGGUGUAAAGGGUCCGUAGGCGGCCUUGUAAGUCAUAUGUUAAAUCUUCGGGCUCAACCUGAAGGCUGCGUGUGAUACUGCGAGGCUAGAGGCUGGGAGAGGUACACGGAAUAGCCGGUGUAGGGGUAAAAUCCGUUAAGAUCGGCUAGAACACCAAAGGCGAAGGCAGUGUACUGGAACAGUUCUGACGCUCAGGGACGAAAGCGUGGGUAGCGAAAGGGAUUAGAUACCCCUGUAGUCCACGCCCUAAACGAUGAAUGCUAGAUAUUGGGAGUAUCGACCCUCUCAGUGUCGUUUAACCAAGCUAACGCGUUAAGCAUUCCACCUGUGUAGUACGGCCGCAAGGCUAAAACAUAAAGGAAUAGACGGGGAUCUGCACAAGCGGUGGAGCGUGUGGUUUAAUUCGAUAUUAAGCGGAAAACCUCACCUGGGCUUGAACUGUAGCUGCAAGCCUCCCGAAAGAGAGGGAGCCUUCGAGGGUGCUACAGAGGUGUUGCAUGGUUGUCGUCAGCUCGUGGCGUGAGCUGUUCCCUUAAGUGGGGUAACGAGCGCAACCCCUGUCACGUGUUAGAUAUGUCACGUGAGACUGCCGUCGUAAGGCGGAGGAAGGAGGGGAUGACGUCAAAUCAGCAUGACCCUUACGUCCAGGGCAACACACGCGCUACAAUGGUAGGGACAAUAGGCCGCCAAGCAGUAAUGCGGAGCCAAUCCUCAAACCCUAUCUCAGUUCGGAUUGAGGGCUGAAACUCGCCCUCAUGAAGCUGGAAUCGCUAGUAACGGCGGAUCAGAACGCCGCCGUGAAUACGUUCUCGGAUCUUGUACUCACCGCCCGUCAAGUCAAGGGAGUUGGGAGCACCCGAACGUCGCCGUAGGGCGCCGGAAGGUGAGACCAAUGACAGGGACUAAGUCGUAACAAGGUAA
rnacentral:rRNA from 1 species